rnacentral:rRNA from 1 species
UACGAAGGGGCUAGCGUUGCUCGGAAUCACUGGCGUAAGCGCACGUAGGCGGCUUCUUAAGUCAGGGGCUGAAAUCCUGGAGCUCAACUCCAGAACUGCCUUUGAUACUGAGGAGGCUUGAGUCCGGGAGAGGUGAGUGGAACUGCGAGUGUAGAGUGAAAUUCGUAGAUAUUCGCAAGAACACCAGCGGCGAAGGCGGCUCACUGGCCCGGUACUGACGCUGAGGUGGCGA